GACGAACGCUGGCGGCGUGCUUAACACAUGCAAGUCGAACGGAAAGGCCCUGCUUUUGUGGGGUGCUCGAGUGGCGAACGGGUGGGUAACACGAGUGUAACGUACCCUUGACUUUGGGAUAACUUAAGGUAACUGGGGCUAAUACCGGAUAGGAGCCCCCGCUGCAUGGUGGGGGUUGGAAAGUUGCGGCGGUUGGGGAUGGACGCGCGGAUUAUCGGCUUGUUGGUGGGAUAGUUGCAUACCAAGCCUUUGACUGGUCGCCGGCCUGUGCACGUGACCGGCCACAAGCCUACUGGGAGACGGCCCACACUCCUACGUUAGGCAGCAGUGGGGAAUAUAGCACAAUGGGCGGAAGCCGGUUGCAGCGACUCCGGGGGCGGGAUGACGGCCUUCGGGUUGUAAACCGCUGGCGCCUAUGACGAAGCGUGAGGGACGGUAACGGAAAAAGAAGCACCGGCUAACUACGUG
rnacentral:rRNA from 1 species